rnacentral:sRNA from 1 species
GUCGUGAGAUGUUGGGUUAAGUCCCGCAACGAGCGCAACCCUUGUCGUUAGUUGCCAGCGGUUCGGCCGGGCACUCUAGCGAGACUGCCGGUGUUAAACCGGAGGAAGGUGGGGAUGACGUCAAGUCCUCAUGGCCCUUAUGCCCAGGGCUACACACGUGCUACAAUGACCGGUACAAAGGGUUGCUAACCCGCGAGGGCACGCUAAUCCCAAAAAACCGGCCUCAGUUCAGAUUGAAGUCUGCAACUCGACUUCAUGAAGUUGGAAUCGCUAGUAAUCCCUGAUCAGCAGGCAGGGGUGAAUACGUUCCCGGGCCUUGUACACACCGCCCGUCACACCAUGGGAGUCAGUUGCUCCAGAAAUGGCUGCGCUAACCCGCAAGGGAGGCAGGUCCUUAAGGAGUGACUGGUAACUGGGGUGAAGUCGUAACAAGGUAGCCGUAUCGGAAGGUGCGGCUGGAUCACCUCCUUUCUGGAGAUUUGUCGAGGCCUUCGGGUCUCGUCCAUUCUCGGUCAAUGUCACGCUUGUUGGUUUGCACCAGCGCUCGGAAUGGCGCACGAACUCGGUUUGUUGUUCGGCUUUGAGGGCCCGACGCACCUUUGAUAUUUUGGAGGUGCGCGACUGAUUCUCACGAACAAAAGGGCCAGUAGCUCAGUUGGUUAGAGCACACGCUUGAUAAGCGUGGGGUCGAAAGUUCAAAUCUUUCCUGGCCCACUCUAGCUGGCAGGGCAGCUGGCAUAAGGGGCGUUAGCUCAGCUGGGAGAGCACCGGCUUUGCAAGCCGGGGGUCAAGGGUUCGAUCCCCUUACGCUCCACCGGCCAUGCGGCCAGCGACCGACUCUUGACGAAGGGCUAGAAUCCGAUGUAGGAUUCCCGCCCUUCGUCGAAAGUCGUCCGACUUUCGAACUCGAUCCUUGAAAAUCAAAUAGCAGACAGCGACGCGAAAGCGUGUCUUGAGUGAUCGUUUGAGUCGCAAGCUCAAACGACCGCAAUCAAGCGUCAAAGGACUACGAGGCACUUCCGCAACAUUGAAGUGUUCUCGACCUUGUAGACGGCGUAUCGCGACAGAGAAAGUAGCGAUGUUCCAAUGCUAAUUCAAGGUUGGUGACCAAGCUACUAAGGGCACACGGUGAAUGCCUAGGCGUCAGAAGGCGAUGAAGGACGUGGUUAACUGCGAAAAGCUUCGGGGAGUCGAAACAGGCGUCGAUCCGGAGAUGU